rnacentral:rRNA from 1 species
UACGUAGGGUGCGAGCGUUAAUCGGAAUUACUGGGCGUAAAGCGUGCGCAGGCGGUUUUGUAAGCCAGGUGUGAAAUCCCCGGGCUCAACCUUGGAAUGGCAGUGGAUACUGGCAAGCUAGAGUGCGGUAGAGGGUAGUGGAAUUCCCGGUGUAGCAGUGAAAUGCGUAGAGAUCGGGAGGAACACCAGUGGCGAAGGCGGCUACCUGGACCAGCACUGACACUGAAGCACGAAAGCGUGGGGAGCAAACAGG